rnacentral:lncRNA from 1 species
UUUUUUUUUUUAAUGUAUUUUUAGUAGAGACGGAGUUUCACCAUGUUGCUCAGGUUGGUCUCGAACUCCUGACCUCAGUUGAUCAGAAGUAGGUGACGUCAGAAAACAUACCCUGGGAGAGGCCGGCACAAUGCUCAGAACCGCCGUUGCUAGCCCUGGGGCCUCUGGGGACAGAGCGAGAUGUUGAAUGAAGAGAGGGGUAUUAAGGAAUUUGCCAGGGUACUGACGCGUGUCAGGUGUAAACCGCAGGUUGAGAGAGGGCUAUUUUCUGUCCAUGAAGGUGGUAAGCGAGGGCCUGAAGAAAGAGAGACGGGGGAGGACACUGGCACCAAAAAUAGGAAAGGGCUGCUUGGAGGUGGGAAGGAUGGGUCGGGGUGCUAUCUAGGAAGUUGCCUGGCAAUGGAUGUAGGACGUGUAAGCGAGACAUCAAACAAGAAGCUGUCGCUUAAACAAAGUCUGAAGAAAGACAAGAUAUGUAAACGGCAGGAGAUAGGAGGAAACUGGACCCGGCUCCUCAUAAAACUUCCCUCCUAUACUUCAGGGAGGAUCGCAGCGCAUUUCGGCCAAUACAGGUGAGACUGCGGUUCUGACCUGUGGGCCUGGAAGACUAUGCGCUUAGGGCACAGAAAUCCUACAAACCGGGGGCUGCGGUUGGAAGCAGACGCUGUGUAAAACGUGACUGGGGGCUAGAAAAACACCAAGAUUUUCACAGAGCAUGAGAAACCAAGAGAAUGGAGACUUUGGGCCAAUCUCUGCAAAAAGCGGCCAGUCUUAGAAAGGAAAGAGCUGUGCAGCUCUCGCUCAAGAUACCUUGUAUUAUAAUCGCUGACACUUUAUUUCACCUCUGGCGGACAGACGAUAUGCUACCUUCCUAUUCCCAAGCCAACCACUGUUAACUUUACAUUUACGAAACCUUAACCGGAAACACUACACAACGGAAAAAAAAAGAACUCUUAACGUGCAGCCUAUUCUUUGAACCACAAGAAGUCAGGGGAAAGCGCGAACGCAGUCCCCCACUACCACAAAUUAUGCAGUCGAGUUUCCCACAUUUGGGGAAAUCGCAGGGGUCAGCACAUCCGGAGUGCAAUGGAUAAGCCUCGCCCUGGGAAAACCACCUUCGUGAUCAUGGUAUCUCCCCU